GGGGACUGCGGAGGGAUC
rnacentral:rRNA from 1 species